rnacentral:rRNA from 1 species
AGUGAACGCUGGCGGUAGGCCUAACACAUGCCAGUCGAACGGCAGCACAGUAAGAGCUUGCUCUUACGGGUGGCGAGUGGCGGACGGGUGAGGAAUACAUCGGAAUCUACUUUUUCGUGGGGGAUAACGUAGGGAAACUUACGCUAAUACCGCAUACGACCUACGGGUGAAAGCAGGGGAUCUUCGGACCUUGCGCGAUUGAAUGAGCCGAUGUCGGAUUAGCUAGUUGGCGGGGUAAAGGCCCACCAAGGCGACGAUCCGUAGCUGGUCUGAGAGGAUGAUCAGCCACACUGGGACUGAGACACGGUCCAGACUCCUACGGGAGGCAGCAGUGGGGAAUAUUGGACAAUGGGCGCAAGCCUGAUCCAGCCAUACCGCGUGGGUGAAGAAGGCCUUCGGGUUGUAAAGCCCUUUUGUUGGGAAAGAAAAGCAGCAGGUUAAUACCCCGCUGUUCUGACGGUACCCAAAGAAUAAGCACCGGCUAACUUCGUG